rnacentral:lncRNA from 1 species
UACAAUAUUCAGACACGAAUAUUUCCAUCCCUUUCCUAGUUAUAGGUAAUUGUAUUAAUUAAUUAAUUAUUUAAUAUUGUAGAUGAAUUAUGCUGCGGAAGAAGAAUAUAGUCUGAAAUACUGAUAAAAUUCAUUAUUUUAUUAUGUGAUGUAAGAUGAAAUUUUGUUUAGAAAUCUGUGUUUAUAGGAAAUAGUAAAUGAUUGAAAGAAAAUAAAAGGAGGCAUGCUAAAGCUAUCAUUUUACGUGCAAUUUUACGGCACUUUAUAUCGUGUAUGUACUAAUCGGUGUGGCAUUCAUUUUUCAUCACGAUUGCCAUACCCAUGAUGGAUUCGGCAAUCAAAAUGGAGGAUGGAGAUCAACGAGCCAGGACCGGACUUACUUGGAAAACUUCGGUGGUGUGGGACAUUGAAAUUGGACUCUAGACCUUCAAGAUGGGUCGGCCGGAUUCGCCGCGUGGAAACGUGAGGAUAGAAUGGGAAUCUCGGUCACACUCCUUGAAAAUAUUAAUCAUGGAAUCUGGGCCUGGCCGUCGAACCCCGCCUGCAAAUCCGACUGACUUCCGCAAGUCUUGCGGGGCCUUUCCAGUGGCAACAGUAAGUUGCCAGUGGAAAGGCCCCGCAACUUACUGUUUCCAGAAUGAAAAGUUGCAUCAUCUCUUGGCAAAAAAGAACUGUAUAACAGAAUGCACCGAUUAGCAUGACUUUAUUUUCUUGUAUAAAUUUCGUAAAAAGUAAGAAUUUACCGGAUGGCCUGUAGCUGAAGCAGUUGCUUACUAUUUUGAAGAAUCUGGAUUUAAUUUUGGAUUUAAUAUUUCAUAUUUCUAUAGAAAACUUUCAACGGGACGAAGACUGCUCCAUUCUUUUUUCUCAACAAAUGAUGCCACUUUCCAUUUUGAAAGAAUACCAAGUGGUGGGAUGAAACAAAUCUUUGCACAGACUAUCACUCAAGUGGAGGGAAAGGCAGCCUGUGACGGCUAGUGGGAUCAACUAGAUUUGAAGGAAGAGAUCGACGGGCUGGGCCCAAGCACCGUGGUAAAUAUUUUUAAGGGGAUGGGAUUUGAGAGUCGAACCGGGAUCUCGAAAAUGGAAAGACGAAGCCAUU